rnacentral:rRNA from 1 species
GACGAACGCUGGCGGCGUGCUUAACACAUGCAAGUCGUACGGUAAGGCCCUUUCGGGGGUACACGAGUGGCGAACGGGUGAGUAACACGUGAGUAACCUGCCCACAACUUUGGGAUAACGCUAGGAAACUGGUGCUAAUACUGGAUAUGUGCUCCUGCUGCAUGGUGGGGGUUGGAAAGCUCCGGCGGUUGUGGAUGGACUCGCGGCCUAUCAGCUUGUUGGUGGGGUAGUGGCCUACCAAGGCGGCGACGGGUAGCCGGCCUGAGAGGGUGACCGGCCACAUUGGGACUGAGAUACGGCCCAGACUCCUACGGGAGGCAGCAGUGGGGAAUAUUGCACAAUGGGCGCAAGCCUGAUGCAGCAACGCCGCGUGCGGGAUGACGGCCUUCGGGUUGUAAACCGCUUUCAGCAGGGACGAAGCUUUUUGUGACGGUACCUGCAGAAGAAGCACAGGCUAACUACGUG